rnacentral:lncRNA from 1 species
UAUGCUGAGGGUGCAGCCCUAAAAAGAAAAAAAAGAAAUGGUUUCCCAGUUCUGGAGACUAGAAGUCCGAGAUCAAGGUACUGGCCAGUCUGCUUCCUGCUGAGACUGUGAGGGGAGGAGCCAUUCCAGGCCCCUCUCCUAGUUUCCUGUGACUUGUUAUUAAUCUCUGUUCCUUGGUUUUCAGAAGCAGCAUCUUCCUCACUGUCUUCAUCUUCACAGUCAAACAUUGACCAUGUGGUGGUAUUUAAGGUUGCAUAUGUAUAUAAAGAAAACUAAGCACUUCUUGUACAUUUACUUUUAUGGCCUGAAAUGGUAUCUGCUACUCGGAGGGAAAAGGAGAUCUGGGUUAAAGUCAGGAGUCUCUCUUGCAGGCUGUGCGCACCACUGGGCAAUGACUCAGCCUUUGUGAACCUUGAGUUCCUCAUCAUUAAAAUGGGUAUGUUAAUAUUAGAUUUAACAUAUGAAACAACACUUUUGUAGGUCAAAAAUUGUUGAGUAUCAGCUAUUUCAUAUGAUUCAACUUAAUACCUACUUCACAGACAUAGGAAAAAACUAAAUAAGAUAAUAUUGUAGCACUGUCCCUGGUGUUUGGUAAAUCAUAAGUACAUGAUUUAUUAAAAUGUAUAUAAAUAAAACCCUAUGGCCUAAUGGUCGUAGUACAACCUAAGCUUAAAAUAUCUGCCCUCUCUGCCAUACAGAACAUGAAUUGCCUAUCAGGAGUCUUCUUUUUUCCCUCCUUCUUUCUUUUCUCCUUCUUUCUUCUUCUUCUCAAAAUUUAAUUUUUAUUCUCUUUCUUCUAUUUCUUUUUAAUGUUUUUUUUUUAAAUAGCUAAUAUGCUUUUAUGGUUCAAAACUCAAAAAGUGUGUAAAAGAAAACCUCUCCCAUAGCAUCACUGUCCUUUAUCUGUCCAGAGUAUUAUGUCUUAUCUAUUUUCCUGAUAUUAAGCACAUUCAAAUGUGUAUACUGUGUGAGUUCUAAAAAUAGCUUUAAAAUAUCUGUAUUUAUAUGAAUAUGAUAUAUGCAUAUUUGUAGUCUAAGACUCUCAGUUUAUGAACAAAUAGCUGAGGCCCACAGAAAUGCAGCCCCUUUGCCUGGAGUCAUUCAGAAUCAGUAAGACUUGCAUAUUAAUUAUACUUAUCUGGCACUCUAUGAGACCUCACAUUACAAAUAUUCACUUUAAAUGUAAAUAAUCUUUUUUUAGGCAAAUAAAAUCUUAUUUAUUUAUUUGUUUAUUUAUUGGCAAUGGAAGUCAGGUCAAAGUGCCUCAUUAUUCAAGCUUCGUAUUUGUGAAUUCUCCUACCUGCUAAUGAUUUACUUAUCAUCCCCAAAUAGAUAUCCAUGACAUUUUCCUAGUCAUUCCCAGAUAUGAGUAGAGGGACAAAAAAAUUUGAGUUGCUGAUUGUACACGUUCCCAGGUGAGGUCAAACAAGAUGACACUUGGCCUUCUUAUUUCAGGUCUCAUGCUAUGAACAAGAGUCCUUUUUGUGAUCUAUUUAAUGCUACAUGUUUCACAUUUCUGUGCUUUUAUUGGGUGAUUUUUGCUAUUUAAAAUGGCCCCUGUGAGUUCCCAUUGUGGCUCAGCAGUAACAAAUCCAAAUGGUAUCUAUGAGGACUUGGGUUCAGUCCCUGGCCCCACUCAAUGGGUUAAGGAUCAGGUAUUGAUAUAAGCUGUGGUGUAGGUAGCAGAUGCGGCUUGGAUUCCAUGUUACUGAGGCAGCUCCGACAGACCGCUAACAUGGGAACUUCCAUAUGCCGCAGGAGUGGCCCUAAAAAAACCAAAAAAAAUAAAAGCAAUUUAAAAAUGCCCCUCAAAGAUAGUGCUGAAGUGAUAUCUACCACUCCUAAGAAUAAGAGGGCUGUGAUGUGCUUUAAGGACAAAAUACAGUGUUAGAGAAGCUUCUCUCAGGCAUAAAUUAUAGUGUUGUGGGCUGUGAGUUCAAUGUUAGUCAAUGAUAUACACUGAAUAAUAUGUCUUUAGGAGUUCUCUUAUGGUGUGGUGGGUUAAGGAUCCUGCAUUGUCACUACAGUGGCUUGGGUUGCUGCUGUGGCAUGAACCCCUGGCCCGGGAACUUCCACAUGCCAUGGAUGUGAGCUUCUCCUCCCCGCCUCCAAAAGAAGAACACAUUGAAUAAUGUGUCUUUAAUCAGAAACACACAUGACACAAGAUUAUGGGUUCAGUUGAUAAAAAUUUUGUGACCUGAGGCUCAUAGGAACCUAACCCUGUAUUUCCCCUAGGAAUAGUGGUUCAGUAUUCACUAAUUCAAUGCUUGUAGCAACUUUAUAGAGUAUAACUACUACUAAUAAUGAGAAUUGAUGGUAUUUUAGAGUACAACACAUAGAAGUCAAGUUUUCCUCUCUUAGUGUCAGUCUGAUUUAAGUGUUUCUUUAAAAUUGUAGCUAUUGGAGUUCCCAUCGUGGCACAGUGGUUAACGAAUCUGACUAGGAACCAUGAGGUUGCGGGUUUGAUCCCUGGCCUUGCUCAAUCGGUUAAGGAUCUGGCGUUGCUGUGAGCUGUGGUGUAGGUCACAGACGCAGCUCGGAUCCCAUGUUGCUGUGGCUCUGGUGUAGGCCAGCAGCUACAGCUUUGAUUAGAUCCCUAGCCUGGGAACCUCCAUAUGCAGCAGGAGUGGCCCUAGAAAAGGCAAAAAGACAAAAAUCAAAAAUCAAAAAAUAAAUAAAAAGUAAAAUGAUAGCUAUGUUACCAUAGCCCACAUUCUAUUUUUUGGCCUUUUAGGGACGUAUCUGUGUACCUGCAGCAUAUGGAGGUUCCCAGGCUAGGGGUUGAAUCGGAAGCUAUAGCCACUGACCUACUCCACAGCCAUAGCAAUGCCAGAUCCAAGCCAUGUCUGCAACCUACAGCAUAGGUCACAGCAAUGCCAGAUCCUUAACCCAGUGAGUAAGGCCAGGGAUCGAACCUGCGUCCUCAUGGAUACUAGUCAGAUUUGUUUCUGCUGAGGCAUGAUAGGAACUCCAGCUUUCUUGAGUUUAAAAAAAUAAAUCCUUUGUUGAUUGCAAAAAUGGCUCCUAAAUGCAGUUUUGGAGGGGAUGGCUUUAAAGCCAUUGUUGGUUUGAGUGGUUCAAAUAUCUUGCUAAUUUCAUAGGCUUUGAACCAAUUAUGAAGUAGAUAGUGUGGCAGUAGCUAUCAAGUUUGCAGUUUGUUUAGGAGUGUUUGUAUUUCUUUUUGGUGUUGAAGAAAUUUACAGUAAUCAUCAGUAGGGAAUUAUGAGUGCACAUCAUUGCAUUAAAACAUGGAAUUCAGCCCUACAUUGCCAUUAAUAGAAAAUGCAGUUUUUAUGUUAAUUAUAAUAAAAAGCAAGUGUUACUGAGCAAGUUUUUACUGAUUAUCCUAUGUAUUGCUAUGAUUACAGUUCCUAACAAAUAUGUUAUAUGUUAUUGAGGAAGUGGUAUAAUUCCUUGUGAUUUACUAAAAUGUAGAUACUUCCUAAAGGGACAACAUAGUAAAUUUUAUCCAUUUCUUACUGUUACUUUAUAUCAUUUUGGACCAUUGUACUUUAUAAAUAAACAUAGACAAUUUUGGUCAGUUAUACCUUACUGUGAAUGAGAUUACCAGAUGUUUUCAUGACCACAGAUUCCACCAGAAGGUAUCAGUGGCAAGAAAUGGGUUGGUGGGAGUUCAAAAGCACAUAGUGAGCUAAUCUGUGUAAACGGGCUUUUGUGGGUUGAAUUGUGUCCUUCUCAAAAAGAUAUGUUUGGAGUUCCCAUUGCGGCUCAGCAGGUUAAGAACCCACCAAGCAUUCAUGAGGAUGCAGGUUUGAUUCCUGGCUUCGCUCAUUGCAUUGAAGGAUCUGGCAUUGCUUUGAGGUGUGGUAUAGGUCGCAGAUGCAGGUCAGAUCUGGCGUUGCUGUGGCUGUGGUGUAGGCCAGCACCUGCAACUCCAAUUCAACUUUUAGCCUGGGAACUUCCAUAUGCUGUGGGUGUGGCCCUAAAAAGAAAAAAAGUUAAAAUGAGACCCUUAGCACAGGCACUAAUCUGGUAUGUCUGGUGUUCCUGCUGAGCCACAAUGGGAACUCCCUGCUAUUCUUAUUAAAAGGGAAAAUUUGGAUACAGAGAGAGGCACACACACAGGGAGAACAAAGAUUUUUCUCUUCCCACUACGUCCCUAGAAUUAUGCCCUGGAGGUACCUUGGGCCCAGCUACCCCAGUUCUCUCCCAGACAUGCCUUCUGCUUCUGCUUCUGCUUCUUGCUGGCAGGGGAUGAGAACUCUGGGAUCUCAUUGCCUUACCCUCAGCUUGUGGGACUCACAUCCCCUGUGCUCUCUGGCAAGAUGUAUACCUCACAGACCAGACCACUGUCUCUGAAACCCUGAAGUCUGCUCACUGCUAGCUUCCUCACUGGCUCUCCUGGAUCCAGACCCUUCCUAGUCGCAGGAAACAGAAGAGUCUGACUCUAACAUUCUGUACACUAUCCGAGUCUUGAGUCUUUUCCAGGCAUUGGCUUUGACAUUUCAAAAGCUUAAUCUUUUGCCUUCAGUAGACUUUUCUCUUAAACUCUCCCCUGCUUACAGUUUUGAAGUCUCUUUUGAAAUGUAAAAAUAUCAGGAAUCAAUUCUGUGCUUUCUUUCAUUUUUUUUCCUUGAGUAAUAAAAGCGAAAUAAUUAGUAGCCUAAAGGGAAAGGGUAUGGGGAGGGGUAGAGAUAACAGGAAAGAAUAGAUAGGAAAGAGGGGGUAUCAGUUAAUGUUCAAAAUACUGUCCUGCCACAUAUGUUUAUUGUUCUUUUCUCACCACAACUUCACAGCGGAUUUGCUGAGAUCCCACUCUUUUUGAAGAAAACUACUCUGGACCAAUGGAAAUGGUUAAACCAUAGGAUUAUAUUACUUUUCGUUUGUGGGCACAUCCAGGUGGAAAUAAGAACUUGCAUUCUUAUCAGCAGAAGGAAAAUUUUUAGCAUAUAGGAAGAACUAUUGUCAGCAUCUGUGGAAAAAGCCUUAGCUUUACUCCCCCAUGGAAGAAAGCCAACGAAAGCCGCCCCAUGAAUUUAACUUGAUAGAUGUUGAUUCUCUGCCUGAAGAAGAGAACCAAGCUGGGAAAGCUGGACUGGAAAGUAGGAAGAGUUUGCUUCCAUAAGACCAAUGGUCUGUCUGUGACAGACAGUGGCUCAGUUUUGACAAGCAUGUAGAGAGUACACACAUUGGCCGAAUCCUGCAUUGGAGGUCAGAGAUAUAAAGAAUCUGUUAUUACGCCUGGGAAAAGUAAAUCUAAGUAGAUGUUCUCAUGUUUCCCCACUUCACCCUAGUACACUACCUCAGUGUGCUGUGCUAGGGGAGAAUCUGCCUGGACUGCGCACUGGAGGAGUUUAAGGUCUUGGAGCCUACGUCAGGUGGAACAUGCCCAACUUACUGGUCACCAUUAUAAUCUCACCAGGAUACCAUAUGGUCAGUACUGUAUUAUAGGUAAUCUAAUACUAGCUACAAGAAUUUUGUUGGAACCAGUGACUCCAAGCUCCUUCUAUAUAGCAAAUCUUCAACUAGGUUAGCUACUGCAGAACAAAACUGCUUUUGGUUUUAGCUGCUUGUUUUCCUCCUCUUUGGUCACAUGGCUUAUUAUUUCUAUUUUUAUAGUCAACACUUGGCUAAAUGGCAAGUACUUGCAGGGUGUCAUUUAUCAAAAUCUGUUUUAGUUUUAAUUAAUUAGUUAAUUUAGUCUUCUUUAUGCUAUGGAUUAAAAAAACUCUUUGUAUCAGAGAGAUGGUACUUAAUAUGUUUUAGCUUUUCGUCCAUAAUCCAGUUGAUAAGAGGUGUUUUUUUUUUUUACAUUUUAUUGAAGUAUAGUUGACUUACAGUGUUGUGAUAAUUUCUGCUGUACAACGAAGUGAGUCAGUUAUACACAUAUCCAUUCUCUUUCAGAUUCUUUUUCCAUAUAGAUUAUCACAGAAUAUUAGGUAGAGUUCUCUGUUCUGUACAGCAGGUCCCCAUUCACCAAUCAUUCCACAUACUUCAGAAUAAGAGUUUUAAGAACUAUUGUAUUUUAUGUAGAUAAUUAUGUAAGUUGCUAUUUGCAUAUGUAAGGAAUCUUUGAAUAUUCAUGAGGGAUAAAGGCGUUGAAGUCAGAAAAGGUGGGAUCCAAAUCUUGGCUCCAACACAAGAUGGUUUAGAAAUAUGUAAGAAAAAAGGAUGUAUACAUGUAUGUAUGACUGGGUCACCCUGAGUGUAGAAGAUUGGCAGAACACUGUAAAGCAGCUAUAAUGGAAAAAAUAAAAAUCUUU